CCUACGGGAGGCAGCAGUAGGGAAUAUUGGUCAAUGGGUGCAAGCCUGAACCAGUCAUGCCGCGUGCAGGAAGAAGGCCCUAUGGGUUGUAAACUGCUUUUGCCAGGGGAUAAAACGAGCAUGCGUGCUUAAUUGAAGGUACCUGGUGAAUAAGCCACGGCUAACUACGUGCCAGCAGCCGCGGUAAUACGUAGGUGGCAAGCGUUGUCCGGAUUUAUUGGGUUUAAAGGGUGCGUAGGCGGUUAUAUAAGUCAGUGCUGAAGUAUCCCGGCUUAACCGGGAGGGUGGCAUUGAUACUGUAUGACUUGAGUAAAGUUGAGGUUGGCGGAAUUGACGGUGUAGCGGUGAAAUGCUUAGAUAUCGUCAAGAACACCGAUUGCGAAGGCAGCUAACUAAGCUUUAACUGACGCUGAGGCACGAAAGUGUGGGGAUCAAACAGGAUUAGAUACCCUGGUAGUCCACACUGUAAACGUUGAUUACUCGCUGUUGGCGAUACACAGCCAGCGGCUUAGCGCAAGCGAUAAGUAAUCCACCUGGGGAGUACGCCGGCAACGGUGAAACUCAAAGGAAUUGACGG
rnacentral:rRNA from 1 species